UGAUAUCCAUUGACUUUGAAUUUUUAUCAGUGCCUUUGUUUUUUAUUCUAGGAUCAAAGAACAUUAUUCUAUAGGUAAAAAUGUCGAAUGAGCAAGUGAAAGUGGAUUUCUCUUUGUCUUCUGGUGCGAUAUAGAUCUCAUUUUUCACAACAUCCUAAAUUAAGGGCUUAAGCCACCUUUGGAAUUGCCUAACUGUUUUUUCCUCGUCCUCA
rnacentral:lncRNA from 1 species